AAUACAUGUCGCCGUUGACUUUUCACCAUAUAUUUGACCAUUCGUCUUAUUCAAAAAAUUUAUGCAAAUAUUAUUUAUUUUGUUAUGAAUUAGUUUAUUACUAUAGAUAUUUUAAACUUGACUUGUAUUUUUUAUAUUUGCAUAAAUUUUUUGAAUAAGACGAAUGGUUAAACAUGUGAUAAAAAGUCAACGGCGACAUGUAUU
rnacentral:pre_miRNA from 1 species